rnacentral:rRNA from 1 species
GAUGAACGCUGGCGGCGUGCCUAAUACAUGCAAGUCGAGCGAACGGACGAGAAGCUUGCUUCUCUGAUGUUAGCGGCGGACGGGUGAGUAACACGUGUAUAACCUCCCUAUAAGACUGGGAUAACUUCGGGAAACCGGCGCUAAUACCGGAUAAUAUUUUGAACCGCAUGGUUCAAAAGUAAAAGACGGUCUUUCUGUCACUUAUAGAUGCAUCCGCGCUGCAUUAGCUAGUUGGUAAGGUAACGGCUUACCAAGGCAACGAUGCAUAGCCGACCUGAGAGGGUGAUCGGCCACACUGGAACUGAAACACGGUCCAGACUCCUACGGGAGGCAGCAGUAGGGAAUCUUCCGCAAUGGGCGAAAGCCUGACGGAGCAACGCCGCGUGAGUGAUGAAGGUCUUCGGAUCGUAAAACUCUGUUAUUAGGGAAGAACAUAUGUGUAAGUAACUGUGCACAUCUUGACGGUACCUAAUCAGAAAGCCACGGCUAACUACGUG